AAAACACGACCGUUGUGCCCGUCAUCGAGCUCUGCCGGGGAGGCGCUCGCUCUGCUCUGUCGCCCCCCCGGACCGCCGGCCCCCGGCCCUCGCGGCGAGAGUUUCUCGGGCGCGCGGGCCGCGUGCGGAAAAAAAUACGGCGCGGAUUGUCGCCAAGGAACACGAUACGCUGAGGCGGCCGGCGGAGCGCUUCGGCGCGCGGCCGGUCGUCGACGCAAAAAUAUCUACGCGAUGACUCUCGGCAACGGAUAUCUCGGCUCUCGCAUCGAUGAAGAACGUAGCGAAAUGCGAUACGUGGUGUGAAUUGCAGAAUCCCGCGAACCAUCGAGUCUUUGAACGCAAGUUGCGCCCGAGGGAUCCGCCCGAGGGCACGCCUGCCUCAUGGGCGUUAGAAGCCCAUCCACGCUCGGGAGCCUAACCAUGGCCCCGACGCGGACAGUGGCCCUCCGAGCCCUAGGGCGCGGCGGGCCCAAGUGCGCGGCCGUCGGAAGGAGCCGGAGCGGCGAGUGGUGGAUUGCUGCGCGCGCCGCCCCGCGUUCCUUUCCGGCAUACGGCUUUGUCCGACCCACGAACGAGGAGCCGCGUCGCCUUUCGGGGCCGCGGCAAAACAAUAGAACAAAAA
rnacentral:rRNA from 1 species